rnacentral:rRNA from 1 species
CCUACGGGUGGCAGCAGUAGGGAAUAUUGCUCAAUGGGGGAAACCCUGAAGCAGCAAAGCCGCGUGGAGGAUGAAGGUUUUCGGAUUGUAAACUCCUUUUGUUAGAGAAGAUAAUGACGGUAUCUAACGAAUAAGCACCGGCUAACUCCGUGCCAGCAGCCGCGGUAAUACGGCGGGUGCAAGCGUUACUCGGAAGCACUGGGCGUAAAGGGGGCGUAGGCGGGUUAGCAAGUCAGAUGUGAAAUCCUAUGGCUUAACCAUAGAACUGCAUUUGAAACUGUCAUUCUAGAGUAUGGGAGAGGUAGGUGGAAUUCGUGGUGUAGGGGUAAAAUGCGUAGAGAUCACGAGGAACACUGAUUGCGAAGGCGACCUGCUGGAAUAUAACUGACGCUGAUGCGCGAAAGCGUGGGGAGCAAACAGGAUUAGAUACCCUAGUAGUC